UACGAACUGUGCGAACGUUAUUCGGAAUCACUGGGCUUAAAGGGUGCGUAGGCGGCUGCCUAAGUCAGGUGUGAAAUCUCCCGGCUCAACCGGGAAACUGCGCUUGAUACUGGGCGGCUCGAGUGAGGUAGGGGUAUGUGGAACUUCCGGUGGAGCGGUGAAAUGCGUUGAUAUCGGAAGGAACGCCGGUGGCGAAAGCGACGUACUGGACCUCUUCUGACGCUGAGGCGCGAAAGCUAGGGGAGCAAACGGG
rnacentral:rRNA from 1 species